rnacentral:rRNA from 1 species
UACUCCUACGGGAGGCAGCAGUAGGGAAUCUUCCACAAUGGACGAAAGUCUGACGGAGCAACGCCGCGUGAGUGAUGAAGGUUUUCGGAUCGUAAAACUCUGUUGUUAGGGAAGAACAUGUGUGUAUAGGUAAUGAACGCAUCUUGACGGUACCUUAUUAGAAAGCCACGGCUAACUACGUGCCAGCAGCCGCGGUAAU